GUCGCAGAUUCCAUUGACAGGGAUGAGGAAGAACAGUUUGUUACCAGCAUUGAUUAAUCCAGCUUCGCCUGGAAGAACCGGUAGCCGGAAUAUCAGUUUCGGUUUUAAAAAUGUUUUGCCGGUAAAUGUUAUAGCGAGUAGUAAUGGAAGUGGUAGUACUGAUAAUGGCGCUGUUUAUGUUGCACGUACAGCUCCAGUAACUCCUUCUUCGCCUGCUAGCUCUCGGGUGAAAAGUCACACCAUAUCAG
rnacentral:misc_RNA from 1 species